rnacentral:rRNA from 1 species
UGGGGAAUAUUGGGCAAUGGGCGAAAGCCUGACCCAGCAACGCCGCGUGAAGGAUGAAGUAUUUCGGUAUGUAAACUUCGAAAGAAUAGGAAGAAUAAAUGACGGUACUAUUUAUAAGGUCCGGCUAACUACGUGCCAGCAGCCGCGGUAAUACGUAGGGACCAAGCGUUGUUCGGAUUUACUGGGCGUAAAGGGCGCGUAGGCGGCAAUUCAAGUCAUCUGUGAAAUCUCCGGGCUUAACUCGGAACGGUCAGAUGAUACUGCUUUGCUAGAGUGCAGAAGGGGCAAUCGGAAUUCUUGGUGUAGCGGUGAAAUGCGUAGAUAUCAAGAGGAACACCUGAGGUGAAGACGGGUUGCUGGGCUGACACUGACGCUGAGGCGCGAAAGCCAGGGGAGCAAACGGGAUUAGAUACCCAUGUAGUCCCUGAGCGGGCUGGCAAGGCGCAU